rnacentral:rRNA from 1 species
GAUGAACGCUGGCGGCGUGCCUAAUACAUGCAAGUCGAGCGAACGGACGAGAAGCUUGCUUCUCUGAUGUUAGCGGCGGACGGGUGAGUAACACGUGGAUAACCUACCUAUAAGGCUGGGAUAACUUCGGGAAACCGGAGCUAAUACCGGAUAAUAUUUUGAACCUCAUGGUUCAAACGUGAAAGACGGUCUUGCUGUCACUUAUAGAUGGAUCCGCGCUGCAUUAGCUAGUUGGUAAGGUAACGGCUUACCAAGGCAACGAUGCAUAGCCGACCUGAGAGGGUGAUCGGCCACACUGGAACUGAGACACGGUCCAGACUCCUACGGGAGGCAGCAGUAGGGAAUCUUCCGCAAGGGGCGAGAGCCUGACGGAGCAACGCCGCGUGAGUGAUGAAGGUCUUCGGAUCGUAAAACUCUGUUAUUAGGGAAGAACAUAUGUGUAAGUAACUGUGCACAUCUUGACGGUACCUAAUCAGAAAGCCACGGCUAACUACGUG